AUGGGGUUCCCUCGUAGUGUGUGUAUGUGUGUGGCGCGAGCUCGCUCUCUUUCCCUCCCUCCUUCUGCAUGGACGUACGUGUGUGUGUGUUUGCAGCUGAUCGGAUGUCUUUCAAGGCGGGAAACAGCUGGUGAAACAUGAGGAUCAGCUGACGCGCUGGCAGUCAGAGGAGGAGAGACAUUCAGGCUCAAUGCGCGCACACCAUUUUGGGUGCAUGAAAGUUGCAGUCGGAGGAGGAGGAGGAACACGAGUUACCUAAUCGCUUGCUCGAAGCACAAAUCACACACACAGAAACAAAAUGGGAGCGGUCAUGAAGAACCCGGAAAUGUGUUUGACUGCGACUCAAAUGCGUGAACGUGGACGGACACGAGCUGUCGAGCGCACGCGUGGACAACAGAGAACGAGUGUGUGAACUUAUGAAUGCAAUCGCUAUAUUGUUGCAUUCAGAGAUUUUAUUUGUUAUAAUGCAAAACAUUUUUUUUAAUUAUUCUAUAGGUUUAAAAUAUAUUUUAGAUGCAUUUUGUCUUUUUAUUACUAUAUUAUUCGUGCAGAAAGAGCAGCAUAAAAAAUGUUAUAAUAAAACUGCUAGGAAAACUG